CCCGUGGAAUCCUUCUUUUCUGGCCCUGUGAUAUGUUUAAGGUGGACUCUGUAGCCUCUUGGUCCUUUUUCAAGAAACGUUGCUCAUCUUGGGAGUCAGAACUGGAGAUGGGAAUCCCAGCUCUGCCAUUUCCCGUACUGUCCUCGAUUUCUCACUGAACCUGGAUUUGGAUAGAAUGGGUGGCUGACCAGACCCACAGAACCAUCGCUGUCUAUCCACCUGAGCUCACAGGUGAGCCACCA